rnacentral:rRNA from 1 species
AACGCGAAGAACCUUACCUACCCUUGACAUCCAAAGAAUUUUGCAGAGAUGCGAAAGUGCCGAAAGGAACUUUGAGACAGGUGCUGCAUGGCUGUCGUCAGCUCGUGUUGUGAGAUGUUGGGUUAAGUCCCGUAACGAGCGCAACCCUUAUCUUUAGUUACCAUCACGUUAUGGUGGGGACUCUAAAGAGACUGCUGGUGAUGAACCGGAGGAAGGCGGGGACGACGUCAAGUCAUCAUGGCCUUUAUGGGUAGGGCUACACACGUGCUACAAUGGUCGGUACAGAGGGUAGCCAACCCGCGAGGGGGAGCCAAUCCCGCAAAGCCGAUCGUAGUCCGGAUCGGAGUCUGCAACUCGACUCCGUGAAGUCGGAAUCGCUAGUAAUCGCGAAUCAGAAUGUCGCGGUGAAUACGUUCCCGGGCCUUGUACACACCGCAUAC